UUUUGCCAAGUUGCCUCUAUUUUUGUUUUCCCCUUGUCUACAAAAAAAAAACAUGUUUCGAUUCUGUGGAGUUUGGAAAGGUCAAGUUCAAUCUCAUUCGCCCCCCCUCUCUACCCUGGAUGCAAGAAAAAAAAUAGAACGUACAGAUGUCUGUCAUCCAAAAUGGACCCUGCAACCUUCUCCUCCUCACUAUUCUCAUGAUCUAGGUCUAUUCACAUAGGUAUUGUCUACAUAGGCAUUGUUUACAUAAGCGUUGUCUACAUAGGCAUUGUUUACAUAGAGUUGUAUGUAGAAUGUUGAUUAACCAACUAUCCAGCUCCAUGUUCUGGGAGCUGAAUGCCUUUGAUAAGAUCUUGAUCAACCCCACGAUAAAUGAGAUAAUCUAGGGCCUUUAUUGCUAUUUAAAAAAAUACUUUUGUUGGAUGGACCCUAAGUGUUCCAUAUCCUAUGAUUCACACUUGUUUAUAGGCAGAAAGACUGAGGCUUUGUAGAGUGUCUCAUAAGCGUAGAGGAAAAAUUUUCCGAAGUCCAUGGCCUUGAUCAUGCCUAUAUUUGAGGGUCAUUCAAUCAUGUCAUAAGAUUUCCCAAAAAUCAAUCUCAAUGAAGAGGGUAUUGAAAUCAAGGAAACAUUUGAGGGUAUUCCAUAACUUUUUCCCCUUCAAGCAAUAUCACAGACAACCUUCCAUCCAAAGUCAACAAAAUUGAAACCCAUUUUUCAGAGUUGUUGACAAUGUUAGGAAAUCCGGAGACGUCGUCAAGGGCCCCGUGAAGAGUUAUAUUUUUUUUUUAACAACUUGCCCACCCUGAAAUUGGCUCAACUAGAGAUAGGGUCCAACAACUAGAAGAGCAUCACACGUCUUGCGGUUUCCGGUGUGCCCUCGACGACCCUUGAAAAUAUGUAGGACCGAGUACUGUCCAUGCCUGAUCGUACUCAUAACCUCAUCAAGUCUCUAAGGUGAAAAAACUCUAGUCAAUAGAACAAUGUAGGUAAGGGAAGUUGGCAACACAGAUCCGUAACUUCGGGAAAAGGAUUGGCUCUGAGGGUUGGGCCUAGGGGUUUGCAUCCUCAACCCAUGGGAUGUCGGCAGUCUGCCCGUGGGACUGUCAUUGAUUAAUGCUACCUCCUUUUGAAUGGUAGUGAAACUAAUUAAUGCUACCUCCUUUUGAAUGGUAGUGAAACUAAUUAAUGCUACCUCCUUUUGAAUGGUAGAGCACAACCUAUCAUUCAUGAUCCAACACAUAGUAGUCAAGAAUCCAAUCCAUUGCUAAUUGUUGGGAUCUAAAGAUGUCCUAAAAACAACCUUAUUUUAACAUUAAUUUAUCAACCUGAGGAUUCAUCUUCUAUUUCAAGAAUAUCAGCAAAGUCUAUGCAAAUAGCUCGUAGAGGCAAAAAUCACGUAUCAAAUCUGAGUUUAUCAACAAUCAA
rnacentral:ncRNA from 1 species